GUCCUGCCAUUUUUCACUUUUACAUGGACAAUAACUCCAAUGUUGAACUUGAUUUUCAUUUUGUCAGCAGUAACAACAUAUUAAUUUUUUAAAUGCUUAGGUUGAACAGUUCAUGAGUAAAUACACAAACACAGUUUGACAAAAGCCAUCCCGCCCGCCGUACAUCAUCAAAUCAAUAACUGUUUUUCCCCUAUGGAAAUCCAGUUAAAAAUGAUAAAAAA
rnacentral:lncRNA from 1 species